UGAGUUGUGGCUCAGUGGUAGAGCGCUUACCUAGCAUGUGUGAAGCACUGAGUUCAAUCCUCAGGACCACAU
rnacentral:tRNA from 1 species